GAUUCAUGAAGAGGAGGUUGGGGGCAGGCUCCCGAAAGUCCUACAGUCUUUGACUUUGCUGCUGUGGACUGAAGUGUGCCAGGGGUUUGAAACCAAACACAGUGGUGAGUUUUGCUGUCACCUUGUGUCCUCACCCCUGCUGUCACCUCACACCCUGGUGUCUGAUGUUUGGGAUGUUCUUGGUGCUUCUCCUGUUGGUGCUUGCACACCCACCCUCUGCAAGCCUGGGGGUCUUGGGGUUGCAUGCCUCUCUACUGCCUGUGGUUGCUUCACAGAGGCAUGGGAUUCUCUGCGGACCAUGUGGCUCUGACCCAUCUCAAUCUGAAGAUUUUUAUUCUGUUAUGGCCGUCCUCCAGACUCUGAGCUCUCAAAGCAAACCCUAAUCCUGUCUAGUUAGAUUUAUUCUGAGAGGUGAGAAGCGGGUUUCAUCUCUGCCUCAGGGAAUCUAAAAAGCCAAAGCAAUGAUGCUAGCUGCCAUACCCCCCCCAAAUCUGGCCAUUUUACAGCCUCACCUAGUGCCUGCCUUCAAGUUCUGUCCAGGGACUUUCAUGUUGCCGCUUUGAUCCCGGUUGCCAUCAGGACUGAGGGCUUUGACCAAACCUCUAACUCACUGUUACAUAAGCCUUGCCAACUGUAAACCCCAAGCCUGCAAGUUUACUUUCCAGAGUGAUUUCUAGCUUGGCAGUAUCAUCGUCAGAGAAUGCGGCCUGCAGGAACUUUGCGGGUCCGUGGAUGUUGCUAGGAGCUGCUUUACAGAUCAGCCCACAACUGCGUUUGCAGAUCUCAUGAGCUUUCGGAUAGUCUUUUGGCUUGAGGUUUUGUGUUUGCCUAUAGGGAGAGGCCUGUUAAUGAUUCUCCAUGAAUCCUGUCAUUCUUUAAUACUACUCUUUGCUUGAUCUAUUAAUUAGUGAAAGGUGAACCUCUAAGUCUUUCCUGAUGGUAACAGGUUCAUCAGUUUCUCUCUUGAUCUUGCUAUGUCUAUUCAGAUACUCGCAAUGAAGCAAGCUUAGAACCAUAAUGCUAACUCACAUAGUUAUUUAUAUAAAUUUUUAAAAGAUUUUAUUUUUAAUGUGCAUAUAGGAAGGGGUGGGGGACUCACACGCAUACUGUGUCAUGCCUGUGGAGGUCAGAGGACAGUUUGCAAGAGUCUGAUCUCUGCUUUCACCAUAUGAGUGCCAGGGAUUGAGCUCGGUCAGGUCAUGGACUUGGCGGCAAGCGCCUCUGCCUGCAGAGUUAUAGGGCCAGUCCCUGUUAUUUUUAUUUCUCCUACUGCUGUUGACUUACAGGCUGUUUUGUCUGAUAUGGGUGCAGCCGGGCCAGCUUGUGCUCAGCUGACAUUUUGUCCGAUUUAUCUUUUUCUAGCCUUUCAUAUUUAUCCUCUCCUUGGGUCUUUUUUUAAAUGUAUGCUUUAAAUAAUACAGGUCUGGGAAUUAUUUACUCUGGCAGUCUGUUCUCCAUAAUCAGUGAGUGAAGUCAGUUUUUAUUUCUGUUGCUGAUGAAUUUGGGUCGAUCCAUACUUUGUGUUUUCUAUUUGUGUUUUUCUUUUCUUUUUCUUUUUUAAAUUUGCACGAGCUUUCUUCUUAUUCUCCCCAGUCAGAUUUUAUUUUCUUUUUUUGGUGUUUUCAUUUUCUAGUUAUUUUUGACGUCUCCAGGUGCAUCGCAGACACGUCCUCAUCGGAAGGCGUGAGAGGGGUCCUCUGCCUUCUCAGGCCGACGAAGGCUGUUGUUACUCUCCUGCCUCUCUCUGUGCAAUGCCCGCCUGUUUUAAAGUCAAAGGUUGAGCUGCCCCGGCCACACUCUUUAACUUUGCAGCUGUGUGACUUUGAACACUCUGCUUCAGUCUGUGCCCCAGCAGUGAGCAGGGGACAAUCGAUCCAUUGAUCUAUUGUCUCAGCUGCUUCCUAGGAGGGCUGAUUCAGCGAGGGGGUUGCCGGGAGGGAACCAUUUGGAAUUAUCCUUAGCUCCUUGGAUAUCUUCACUCGCAGCAGGUUGGAGGUGAGGCUCAGUGUGGAACUCUGACCUAGUGUGGGCCACCCCAGGAGACAAAGAGCCUCAUGAAGGCUUCCUACACGCCAGAGGUGAUUGAGAAAUCAGUGAGGGAUGUAGAGCACUGGCAUGGUAGGAAGACGGAUGAACUAGGACGGUGGCACCGGAAAAAUGCCAUGAAUAUGAACUUGCAGAAGGCACUGGAAGAGAAAUACGGAGAAAAGGGCAGAUCCAAGGGCAAGUAGUUGAAAGGACUUUGGAAGGAAGCUCGCAGAGAGUGCUAUCAAUAAAGAAAGGCGGGCCCAGGUCUGAGCCAUG